rnacentral:pre_miRNA from 1 species
ACAUGCUUCUUUAUAUCCCCAUAGGGAUAACAGUGCUAUGGAAUGUAAGGAAGUGUGUGG